rnacentral:tRNA from 1 species
GGAGAAGUGGCAGACUAGAAAUGUGUUUGACUUGAAAUCAAUUGAUGAAGGUUAAAUUCCUUCCUUCUCUU